UGCGUAGGCGGCUUAUUAAGUCAGGGGUGAAAGACGGUGGCUCAACCAUCGCAGUGCCCUUGAUACUGAUGAGCUUGAAUACACUAGAGGUAGGCGGAAUGUGACAAGUAGCGGUGAAAUGCAUAGAUAUGUCACAGAACACCGAUUGCGAAGGCAGCUUACUAUGGUGUUAUUGACGCUGAGGCACGAAAGCGUGGGGAUCAAACAGGAUUAGAUACCCUGGUAGUCCACGCCCUAAACGAUGAAUACUCGCUGUUAGCGAUACACAGUUAGCGGCUAAGCGAAAGCGUUAAGUAUUCCACCUGGGGAGUACGCCCGCAAGGGUGAA
rnacentral:rRNA from 1 species